UAAAACACGUUUGAAUAGGAAUAGUAGAGAGUCGUUCUUUUCGUAGAGAGUACAUGGUUGGUGGAAAUGUACAGAGAAACUUUUGAACUCGCCUUUGAGUGUUAUCUUUUGAAGAAUAGUAGGAAGAUACGGUGACGAUCGUUAAAACGUUGAGGCUAGGCUUUUUUAGCUAGUAAAUGUAGGUGGUACCACGUCUUUAACGUCCUAUGA
rnacentral:ncRNA from 1 species